rnacentral:rRNA from 1 species
CGCGGCCUAUCAGCUUGUUGGUGAGGUAAUGGCUUACCAAGGCGUCGACGGGUAGCCGGCCUGAGAGGGCGACCGGCCACAUUGGGACUGAGAUACGGCCCAGACUCCUACGGGAGGCAGCAGUGGGGAAUAUUGCACAAUGGGCGGAAGCCUGAUGCAGCAACGCCGCGUGCGGGAUGACGGCCUUCGGGUUGUAAACCGCUUUCAGUAGGGACGAAGCGCAAGUGACGGUACCUACAGAAGAAGCACCGGCUAACUACGUGCCAGCAGCCGCGGUGAUACGUAGGGUGCGAGCGUUGUCCGGAAUUAUUGGGCGUAAAGAGCUUGUAGGCGGUUGGUUGCGUCGUAAGUGAAAACUCAGGGCUUAACCCUGGGCUUGCUUGCGAUACGGGCUGACUUGAGGAAGGUAGGGGAGAAUGGAAUUCCCGGUGGAGCGGUGGAAUGCGCAGAUAUCGGGAGGAACACCAGUGGCGAAGGCGGUUCUCUGGACCUUUCCUGACGCUGAGAAGCGAAAGCGUGGGGAGCAAACAGGCUUAGAUACCCUGGUAGUCCACGCCGUAAACGGUGGGUACUAGGUGUGGGUCACAUUCCACGUGAUCUGUGCCGUAGCUAACGCAUUAAGUACCCCGCCUGGGGAGUACGG